GUAAAAGAAUGUAUGUGUGUGUGUGUGUGUGUGUAUGUGAAUGUGUGUGUGAGUGCAUGUGCACGCGCAGGGGAAGUGGGAUGGUUCUUCUUUGUUCGCUUAGUAUUUGGGUUUAUAUUUUGAUUUGGUUGAAUCUUGGUUGUUUCUUUUUUCUUUUUUGUCAGUUAUUUUUAGCGUUUUGACAGA